rnacentral:rRNA from 1 species
GAUGAACGCUGGCGGCGUGCCUAAUACAUGCAAGUCGAGCGAACGGACGAGAAGCUUGCUUCUCUGAUGUUAGCGGCGGACGGGUGAGUAACACGUGGAUAACCUACCUAUAAGACUGGGAUAACUUCGGGAAACCGUAGCUAAUACCGGAUAAUAUUUUGAACCGCAUGGUUCAAAAGUGAAAGACGGUCUUGCUGUCACUUAUAGAUGGAUCCGCGCUGCAUUAGCUAGUUGGUAAGGUAACGGCCUACCAAGGCAACGAUGCAUAGCCGACCUGAGAGGGUGAUCGGCCACACUGGAACUGAGACACGGUCCAGACUCCUACGGGAGGCAGCAGUAGGGAAUCUUCCGCAAUGGGCGAAAGCCUGACGGAGCAACGCCGCGUGAGUGAUGAAGGUCUUCGGAUCGUAAAACUCUGUUAUUAGGGAAGAACAUAUGUGUAAGUAACUGUGCACAUCUUGACGGCACCUAAUCAGAAAGCCACGGCUAACUACGUG